rnacentral:rRNA from 1 species
GAUGAACGCUGGCGGCGUGCCUAAUACAUGCAAGUCGAGCGAACAGACGAGGAGCUUGCUCCUUUGACGUUAGCGGCGGACGGGUGAGUAACACGUAGGUAACCUACCUAUAAGACUGGGAUAACUUCGGGAAACCGGAGCUAAUACCGGAUAAUAUUUCGAACCGCAUGGUUCGAUAGUGAAAGAUGGCUUUGCUAUCACUUAUAGAUGGACCUGCGCCGUAUUAGCUAGUUGGUAAGGUAACGGCUUACCAAGGCAACGAUACGUAGCCGACCUGAGAGGGUGAUCGGCCACACUAGAACUGAGACACGGUCCAGACUCCUACGGGAGGCAGCAGUAGGGAAUCUUCCGCAAUGGGCGAAAGCCUGACGGAGCAACGCCGCGUGAGUGAUGAAGGUCUUCGGAUCGUAAAACUCUGUUAUUAGGGAAGAACAAACGUGUAAGUAACUGUGCACGUCUUGACGGUACCUAAUCAGAAAGCCACGGCUAACUACGUG